GACGAACGCUGGCGGCGUGCUUAACACAUGCCAGUCGAACGGAAAGGCCCCCUUGUGGGGUACUCGAGUGGCGAACGGGUGAGUAACACGUGAGUAACCUACCCUUGACUUUGGGAUAACUUCAGGAAACUGGGGCUAAUACCGGAUAGGAGCUCCUGCUGCAUGGUGGGGGUUGGAAAGUUUUGGCGGUUGGGGAUGGACUCGCGGCUUAUCAGCUUGUUGGUGGGGUAGUGGCUCACCAAGGCUUUGACGGGUAGCCGGCCUGAGAGGGUGACCGGCCACAUUGGGACUGAGAUACGGCCCAGACUCCUACGGGAAGCAGCAGUGGGGAAUAUUGCACAAUGGGCGGAAGCCUGAUGCAGCAACGCCGCGUGCGGGAUGACGGCCUUCGGGUUGUAAACCGCUUUCGCCUGUGACGAAGCGUGAGUGACGGUAAUGGGUAAAGAAGCACCGGCUAACUACGUG
rnacentral:rRNA from 1 species